rnacentral:lncRNA from 1 species
AUGGGUUCACAGUUUUUGGUAAAUGAUCUCGUAGUUAGUGAGUUUCUUUCUAAAAAGGCGGAUCCUUUAAUACUUGUGAUUUCAGGGACUUUUCGAGAUGAUAUUGGAAAUUUUGAGAUUUUAGAUUUAGUGAAACUUGGUUUUUAUUUUCUUGUUAAGCUAUUUUGUACCACGUCUGCUGAUUGUAUGUAUGUAACAAUGUGACAAUGACUGCUAAUUCAUUGGAUAUCAACCUCUGCGUGCUUUUUGGAUCAUCAGAUCCAGAUGAAAAUUACCAGUCUUUUAUUUUUAGGUAUGUCCCUUUUUUCUCUAUUCUUGUUUCCUUUGUGCUGCUAAUCUGCUAUUGUGGUUUGCUAGAAAUGCUUUAUCAAUGUUUGAAAAUGCUAAGGAUUCAGACACAAAGAUGCCUUGAAUCGCAUAAUCGCGGCAUGUGCUACCAUGUAACAGUAAGUUUCCAUUUACUAAUACAUAGAUGAGGUAACUAUUGGUAUAAAUAACUAAGGACCAACACAUGAGGUACAGAAUAAUAAAACAUCCAAAGGGUCAUACAGUAGAGAGCUUUUAUGCAGAAAUGGUGUCUCUUAGAUGGAAGAAAUAAGGCCUUUGUCUUUGAAGAAUGCGAUACAAUCAUCAAACAUCUCUUCAAUGGACUUGAAUUUCAUUCCUAACUUCUCCAGCUUCAAGGUGUUGAACUCGUAGUGAGGUCGAUCAAGUUUCUUAAACCUGAAAUAGCAGUAAUCUUCAUCAAAAUAGUACUCCUACUAUUUUUUUUUUCUUCUAUAAGGUACUCGUAUAACAUUUCUUUCACUUAAGAAUAUCUGUUUUAAGUAGAAAUAAUGGAUGUGGUAUGUAGAACUCUAGGUCUUCUAGGAUAGAGGCGAAUCCUUGAUUUAAAAAGGCAGAUGCACCUCUUCAUAUACUGACAUACAUGCAUACCAUGCAAUUUUACUCUUUUCACAUUUUAUGUAUAAAUAUAUGUAGUGGCAUGUAAGCUGGAUUUUGUGCAAGCCAUCUUGUAUGUGAAUCAAUGUUUCUUGCUAAUCUUUGCUACUGUAUAUGUGUAGUUUUUGUUUAUAUUGUUGCUAUUUAAUAGGAAGAUCGGGGAAGGAAUGGAGAAAGGAGAUAGCGAGUAUUGAACUCAAACAUAUACUGUGGAAAACUCUCACUAGUGCUACUAAGUUAUGUUGCUCGGUUCCUUUAAAAAUGUCAUCGGUUGUGUGUCAGAUCCUCCAAAAAUCACUCAUUGUUGGGGGAGCAACAUAGCUACUAAGUUAUAAGCCAUUGUGUAUAUAUAUAAGUGCACAUACAUCGAUUAUACUGACCUUUUAGGAAUAGGCAAAGAUGGAUAGCGCUCCGAUAGGAUCGAGACAAGUUGAUUGUUGUCAAGAACCUUUGAGCUGCAAAGAUACCUCCCAUGAGCAUUUGGAUGCUCAUAGACAAGUAUAUGGGAGAGAGCCACAUCAUCUAUGUGAACAUACCCCAUUCUUCCAUGCCAGUCAAACUUAUCUGUUUUUCCUUUAAGCAAACCAAGGACAUCAUCUGCUGUUGAACAUAAAUCUGGUGGCAAACUUGGUCCAAUGAUGAAAGAGGGGAGUAGUGUCACAAGAUGAAUGUUGUUUUGUUCACAGUAUUCCCAAGCAGCCUUCUCGGCUAGUGUCUUUGAUAGGACAUACCAAAUCUUGCAUCCACCGAGUAAAGUGAUGAGAUUAUGGUUUUACUCUCUAUCCGAAUUUAUAUGUCACUCUUCUUAAUGAGACGAGCCAAAAUUGUUUGACCCCAUUCUAUUACUAUACAAGUAUACAACUUUCAAGAAUUCAAAUUCAAGAAACUAUUUAAUAUUAGAAUAAUAUUUUAAACUAUAUGCUUAGUCAAAGUUCAAGCCUCUCUACCCCUUCGGGGUAGAGGUAAGGUCUGUAACUCCACUUGUGGGGUUCUACUGGGUUGUUGUUAUUGUUGUUGUUUGUGCUUAGUCAAUAUCGUCAUAUGAAAUGGAAUGGGCCGAGUACAAUAACAUGGAAAUAUUAACACAUGAUAGAUGAUUUACCUCAAAUUUUUUACAGAGUUCAACGGAGCUCCAAGAUGAUUCAUCCAAGG